rnacentral:rRNA from 1 species
UACGUAGGGAGCAAGCGUUGUCCGGAAUCAUUGGGCGUAAAGCGCGCGUAGGUGGCCUCAUAAGUCCGCUGUGAAAGUCAAAGGCUCAACCUUUGAAAGCCGGUGGAUACUGUGAGGCUAGAGUACGGAAGAGGCGAGUGGAAUUCCUGGUGUAGCGGUGGAAAUGCGCAGAUAUCGGGAGGAACACCAGUGGCGAAGGCGGCACUCUGGGCCGGAACUGACGCUGAGGAGCGAAAGCGUGGGGAGCGAACAGG